GACGAACGCUGGCGGCGUGCUUAACACAUGCAAGUCGGACGAGCGGCGGACGGGUGAGUAAUGUAUGGGAAACUGCCCGAUGGAGGGGGAUAACUACUGGAAACGGUAGCUAAUACCGCAUACCAUCAGAUGAACCCAUAUGGGAUUAGCUAGUAGGUGAGGUAACGGCUUACCUAGGCGACGAUCCCUAGCUGGUCUGAGAGGAUGAUCAGCCACACUGGGACUGAGACACGGGCCAGACUCCUACGGGAGGCAGCAGUGGGGAAUAGUGGAAAAUGGGCGAAAGCCUGAUGCAGCCAUGCCGCGUGUAUGAAGAAGGCCUUCGGGUUGUAAAGUACUUUCAGUGGGGAGGCGUUACCGACAGAAGAAGCACCGGCUAACUCCGUGCCAGCGGCCGCGGUAAUAC
rnacentral:rRNA from 1 species